rnacentral:tRNA from 1 species
GGUUUUAUAUUCAUAAUAUGAUGAUAGAAUGCAAUUCUAUAGGAGUAGCUAAGCUACUAAGACUU